UUCCUGGAAUCCUGAUGGAUUGAUUUAUUGCUUCUGCAGUUUUUUUCUGGAAGCUGCCACAUCAUGGAAUUGUGCCUUCUGGGUCAGAGAUGAAAGGAGCUGGCCGGUAAGAGUCUGUGGAACUGAAACAAUUUUUUCCAAAGGUGAAGAGAACAAAGAGUUACCUGGUAUAAUAAAAGGACAAUGGGCUUUGAGCAGAUGCUGGCUAAACUUCUGUGGGAGAAGCAUCCUGGGGACGCCAGCUGAGAUUGACACCCCACUGUUGUCGAUGCUGUACGCACGUAGGACAUGAAUUCCCUGCCCGGCUGCCAAGUGCAAAGGUGGUGAAUGCAGAAAAAAUGCUAAGGAAUGCACAUUGGUUGGUAAUGUUCUGUGGAGUCAACUGUGGAGUGUGAGAAGCAGCUUUGUAGAGCUGUGCCUAUCCAUCAGCCUUCUUUCUUCGCAGUGAUGAGCUAA
rnacentral:lncRNA from 1 species